rnacentral:misc_RNA from 1 species
UCCGUUUUGUCAACGGCAGUCUCUCUAGAGUGCCCAACUUAAUGCUGGCAACUAAAGAUAAGGGUUGCGCUCGUUGCGGGACUUAACCCAACAUCUCACGACCCGAGCUGACGACAGCCAUGCAGCACCUUGCACUCUGUCUGGUUUUACCCAGAAGGCCCUAUCUCUAGGGUUGUCAGAGGCAUUCUAGCCCAGGUAAGGUGGGGAUGACGUUGAACGGUUGGUU